rnacentral:lncRNA from 1 species
GGAUUUUGGUGAGGACUUCUCACAAAUCCGAUUCCACUUCUUUUAGGAAUGUGACCCUUAUUUGUAAGGAUCAUGUUCAAAGACUUACUACCAACCUCGAAUUUCUUCAAGGUGUCCUUAAGUAGCAAGUUCUCCUUUUGGAGAGUUUCUAGAUCAUGGCAUUUUAUACAUGGAGCUAAACUAUCAUGAUAUUCAGUCUUUAAUUUAUCGACAUCACAAGU